rnacentral:rRNA from 1 species
UAGUGAUAUCUACGGAUUUUACCCCUACACCACUAAUUCCAUCUCCCCCUCCCAUACUCUAGUCUAGCAGUUUCAAAUGCAGUUCAAUGGUUGAGCCAUUGGAUUUCACAUCCGACUUGCUAAACAGCCUACGCGUCCUUUACGCCCAGUGAUUCCGAGUAACGCUUGCACCCUCCGUAUUACCGCGGCUGCUGGCACGGAGUUAGCCGGUGCUUAUUCAUAUGCUACCGUCAUUUUCUUGACAUAUAAAAGGAGUUUACACACCGAAAUGCGUCAUCCUCCAUGCGGCGUUGCUGCAUCAGGCUUUCGCCCAUUGUGCAAUAUUCCUCACUGCUGCCUCCCGUAGGAGUCUGGUCCGUGUCUCAGUACCAGUGUGGCGGAUCAUCCUCUCAGAACCGCUACCCGUCAUUGCCUUGGUGAGCCAUUACCUCACCAACUAGCUGAUAGGAUAUAGUCUGAUCCCAAAGCGAAAAGACAUUUCCCUUCUUACCUUAUGAUAAGAAGGUGUAUCUAGUAUUAAUCACCGUUUCCAGUGGCUAUCCCAGUCUUUGGGGUACAUUAACUAUAGUUUACUCACCCGUGCGCC